rnacentral:rRNA from 1 species
UACAGAGGGGGCAAGCGUUGUUCGGAAUUACUGGGCGUAAAGGGCGCGUAGGCGGCCUGCUAAGUCGAACGUGAAAUCCCCGAGCUCAACUCGGGAACUGCGUCCGAUACUGGCAGGCUUGAAUCCGGGAGAGGGAUGCGGAAUUCCAGGUGUAGCGGUGAAAUGACGUAGAUAUCUGGAGGAACACCGGUGGCGAAGGCGGCAUCCUGGGACCGGCAUUGACGCUGAGGCGCGAAA